UACGUAGGGUGCGAGCGUUGUCCGGAAUUAUUGGGCGUAAAGAGCUCGUAGGCGGUGUGUCGCGUCGGCCGUGAAAACCUGCAGCUUAACUGUGGGCUUGCGGUCGAUACGGGCAUCACUGGAGUUCGGCAGGGGAGACUGGAAUUCCUGGUGUAGCAGUGAAAUGCGUAGAUAUCAGGAGGAACACCGAUGGCGAAGGCAGGUCUCUGGGCUGACACUGACGCUCAUGCACGAAAGCGUGGGGAGCAAACAGG
rnacentral:rRNA from 1 species